CUGCAUUAUUUCUACAGUGUAGAUGCAGCCCUAGUUAGUCUACAGUAAGAAUAACUAAAGAGAAAAUUAAAAGUGAGAACAGCACAAAUAUAUAAUAUUAAAAAACAAUUUAUAGCAAAUUUUAUUAUUAACACAGAAUUGAAUUAAAGGAAAUUAAAAGCACAGCAAUGAGGAAAUGAGAGCAAUAAUCUGUUAAAAGCCCCUUCUUCAGGAGCUCUCCAUGAAUAAAUAGGAACUUUCUUGCUGGUAGAGGGCAACUGUGAGGUCUGCAUAGCCCCCCAUAGAAAGGAGUUCCCCAAGGUGAGAGCAAUUGUAGAGGAUUUGUUUGGGCUCACCACAUAUUCUAUGACUAGUCAGGGGCACAUUCACACUACAGAAUUGCAGCACUAUUAUUUCUCUUUAGCUGUCAUGGUCCCUUCCUAUGGAAUCCUGGGUUUGUAGUCUGUGGUGGCACUAGAGCUCUGUUGCUGAGAAUUCUUAUUGUUUCUGUAGUCAAAGUUUUCAUUGGAUGGAAUCAUGGCAGUUAAAGUGGAAUAACAGCACUAUAACUCUGUCAAGCAGAUGGACCCCUGGAGCAUCCAGUCAUAAUGCAGUUGGAUGAAACCUCAAAACAGAACAAGAACGGAUCAAAGUACGUAUGUGAAAAUAAUGUCUGUGUCUUCAGCCAUCCCCUUAAGAUGACAGGACACAUGUCAAGAAUAAUGAAGAAAAAUAGAGGAGCACAUCUAGCCCAUCAGAAGAAAUAAAUCUCUUUGCCUUAAUCCCCGCCUGUUGUUUGUUUCAUCAGAAAGAAGUUGACAAAUGGCAAGCCAAUACGAUGUGUAGUUCUUCCAAUCACAUCUGAUACUAAUUUCCAAAGAAGACACCAAAUACGCUAAGAAUGUUACAAGACUAGUAAGAAGGAAGAUUUGACAUGAAUCUUUUCGUUGUGAUGCUGACCGCAGGGAGUCCAGUACCUUCAAUAUUCAAACCUCCUCUUUGUUCUCUCCUCGCCUUUCAUUGAAAAGAAGAUGAGCUUUUGUACAUUGUUGGUUAACAUUCCACCAUUUUGUGUUGUGAUAUAAAUAAUUUAAUGCGCUUCCUCACAUGCCAUUUAUAUUAUUUUGAAAGAAGAGCAGCUUUGCUUUAUUUUCUUACUUUACAAAAUCUGAAA